rnacentral:rRNA from 1 species
GACGAACGCUGGCGGCGUGCUUAACACAUGCAAGUCGAACGGAAAGGCCCUGCUUUUGUGGGGUGCUCGAGUGGCGAACGGGUGAGUAACACGUGAGUAACCUGCCCUUGACUUUGGGAUAACUUCAGGAAACUGGGGCUAAUACCGGAUAGGAGCUCCUGCUGCAUGGUGGGGGUUGGAAAGUUUCGGCGGUUGGGGAUGGACUCGCGGCUUAUCAGCUUGUUGGUGGGGUAGUGGCUUACCAAGGCUUUGACGGGUAGCCGGCCUGUGAGGGGGACCGGCCACAUUGGGACUGAGAUACGGCCCAGACUCCUACGGGAGGCAGCAGUGGGGAAUAUUGCACAAUGGGCGGAAGCCUGAUGCAGCAACGCCGCGUGCGGGAUGACGGCCUUCGGGUUGUAAACCGCUUUCGCCUGUGACGAAGCGUGAGUGACGGUAAUGGGUAAAGAAGCACCGGCUAACUACGUG